rnacentral:rRNA from 1 species
UUUAUAAAGAGUUUGAUCCUGGCUCAGGACGAACGCUGGCGGCGCGCCUAACACAUGCAAGUCGAACGGAGUUUGAGAGAGCUUGCUUUUUCGAACUUAGUGGCGAACGGGUGAGUAACGCGUGAGUAACCUGCCCUGGAGUGGGGGACAACAGUUGGAAACGACUGCUAAUACCGCAUAAGCCCACGGUGCCGCAUGGCAUAGCGGGAAAAGGAUUUAUUCGCUUCAGGAUGGACUCGCGUCCAAUUAGCUAGUUGGUGAGGUAACGGCCCACCAAGGCGACGAUUGGUAGCCGGACUGAGAGGUUGAACGGCCACAUUGGGACUGAGACACGGCC